rnacentral:rRNA from 1 species
CCUACGGGAGGCAGCAGUGGGGAAUAUUGCGCAAUGGGGGAAACCCUGACGCAGCAACGCCGCGUGAGUGAGGAAGGACUUCGGUCUGUAAAGCUCUGUUAAUGAGGAAAAAUGGUAGUUGGUCUAAUAGGCCGAUUAUUUGAUGGUACUCAUAGAGGAAGCACCGGCUAACUUCGUGCCAGCAGCCGCGGUAAUACGAAGGGUGCAAGCGUUGUUCGGAUUUAUUGGGCGUAAAGCGCGCGUAGGCGGACCUGCAAGUCAGAUGUGAAAUCUCGAGGCUCAACCUCGAAACUGCGUCUGAAACUACAGGUCUAGAAUCUCGGAGGGGGAAGGGGAAUUUCGCAUGUAGGGGUAAAAUCCGUAGAUAUGCGAAGGAACACCAGAGGCGAAGGCGCCUUCCUGGACGAGUAUUGACGCUGAGGCGCGAAAGCGUGGGGAUCAAACAGGAUUAGAUACCCUGGUAGUCCACGCUGUAAACGAUGAACACUAGGUAUUGGAGGAUUUGACCCCUUCAGUGCCGUAGCUAACGCGUUAAGNGUUCCGCCUGGGAAGUACGGUCGCAAGACUAAAACUCAAAGGAUUGACGG